rnacentral:rRNA from 1 species
GACGAACGCUUGCGGCGUGCUUCACACAUGCAAGUCGAACGACGUGGCUAACGGGUGAGUAAUACGUGGGUAACCUGCCCUCCUUUUUGGGAUAAGCCUUGUAAACGUGGUCUAAUACCGAAUAAAGUGGGAUGGGCUCUCGGCCUAUCAGCUUGUUGGUGUGGUGAUGGCCUACCACGGCGGUGACGGGUAGCCGGCCUGAGAGGGUGAGCGGCACCAUUGUGCCUGAGAUGCGGCCCAGACUCCUACGGGAGGCAGGAGUGGGGGAUAGUGCACAAUGGGCGAAAGCCUGAUGAAGCGACGCCGCGUGGGUGAUGGAGGCUUUCGGGUUGUAAAGGACUUUCAGCGGGGAGGCGUUACCCGCAGAAGAAGCACCGGCUAACUCCGUGCCAGCAGCCGCGGUAAUAC